GAGAGAAAAGAGAGGGUAACCUUCAUCUAGUAACUUAGGAGAUGGAGAGAAGAGAGAGGGUAUAUAGGUGUUUUUAGAUACAUUGUAGUUGUUUUGUAGUCUUUUUAGUAUUUUUUGGGUUUUGGAGUGAUUUGGAGGAAAGUGGUGAUUUUGGUGUAUUUUGGAGAUAAAAUGAAAAUGACCCGUAGCUGACCAUCGAACAGUCCAGCGGUCGAUGAUUGAAGAUGAUAAUCGAUCGACACACACCUCG
rnacentral:lncRNA from 1 species